CAUCACAUUGAAACACCGGCUCUCGUACGAUCACUGAAGUUAAACAACAUCGAGCCUGGUCAGUACCUAGAUGGGUGACUGCUUGGGAACACCAGUUACUGUAAG